GUCAAAAGCUGAAUGCUGCAGGAGGGGUCUUGGGCGGCUGGCAACUUCAGAGGAGGAGCUGCCAUAGUGGAAUGCGGAAGUGGGCUUUUUGGCACCUUCCCUUUGUUUGGAAAUUCUCUGAGAGGGCGGGGUUCGGAAAGACAGGAAUGGGGCUUCUCAGACGUGCAGGAGUGAACUGGAGGUUCCAAUCCAACAACAGUAGGUAUUGCCUGUAUUGAGGGAUAUUUCAUCACACCAUGAACCCUUGAGUCUGCAUUAAUUAAAUAAAACCUUGGGUCAGGAGGCAGAGCCAGCAACUAGUUGACAGAAAGGAGUCAUAGAGAGUCAAAGGGAUUCUAGAAGACUGACAGAGAGACGCAAUGGAAGGACAUUCUCUUGCUGGGUCUCCAGAAGGAGGAGCAUGGGGAGGUGGAGAGGACAGAUAAGGAAGAGAUGGAACUCCAGAGGACCAAUGCCAAUCACCUUUUACUGCGGCUUCCAUUCCCCUUCUGAUAUAUGCCUUCUUGCUGCCUUGGCUUGAUACCUACGGAAAUGAAGGUCUGCUGUAGGAGGGACAUGGCGAGCGAGAACGGGCUGGGCUCCUGGUGGAGGCCUGUGGUGUCUCUCCAGCUCUGACAUUGACAGAGGGACCUUCACCUGACCAGUUCAUCAUCAGUAAACUGGAAUGAUACUUCCUGUUUUAUUGUCUCACAUGACUGCGAGAAAGCACUCAUCCGAAAACUUGUAAACAGAUAACGGAAUGGGCAAUUUUAAGUACUUCAUUAAAAGCUCCAUCAGGUGAA